AAGUAAGUUGAACCAUAAUACUCCUGUUUUCUUUCCAAAAAAGUGUACAAUAGCAGGUACCUCUAGUCAGCCACCAAAGGAAUGCAUUGCUACGGAUAACAAAGUAGUUGCAAUUUCACAAGCGGGACAACACCAGCAAACAUCGUCAGCGCUGAUAAUAUCCUCCGUUCAAAGUUAUGUCCAGAAAUAUUUGGAAGGAAGUCACAUACUUGAAGAAGGAGAGGAAGAGGAUUUCUUAACGCAAUGCCGGAAAAAU
rnacentral:lncRNA from 1 species